rnacentral:sRNA from 1 species
CAAAAUUAAGGAUGAAGACAGGGAGAAGAACACAAACUUUUAGAAUCAGUGGGGCUGUGCCUUUUUAUCCAAAUUUAGUGGUCAAUUCUGUAGGUGGCAGAAAUUUGGAGAAGUAUCAGCUUGGUGGGGUUAUAUUUGGUUGCAAGAACAACACAAUGAAAGAAUGCCAAUCAAAACUAAUCUUCGGUUUACCAGCAAACCACUUUUCCUAUGUGAAGAACAUUGAUCCUG